CGAAAGCAUGGGGAGCGAACAGGAUUAGAUACCCUGGUAGUCCAUGCCGUAAACGUUGGGCACUAGGUGUGGGGCUCAUUCCACGAGUUCCGUGCCGCAGCAAACGCAUUAAGUGCCCCGCCUGGGGAGUACGGCCGCAAGGCUAAAACUCAAAGGAAUUGACGGGGGCCCGCACAAGCGGCGGAGCAUGCGGAUUAAUUCGAUGCAACGCGAAGAACCUUACCAAGGCUUGACAUGCACGGGAAGCCACCAGAGAUGGUGGUCUCUUUGGACACUCGUGCACAGGUGGUGCAUGGUUGUCGUCAGCUCGUGUCGUGAGAUGUUGGGUUAAGUCCCGCAACGAGCGCAACCCUCGUCCCAUGUUGCCAGCGGGUUAUGCCGGGGACUCAUGGGAGACUGCCGGGGUCAACUCGGAGGAAGGUGGGGAUGACGUCAAAUCAUCAUGCCCCUUAUGUCUUGGGCUUCACGCAUGCUACAAUGGCCGGUACAAAGGGCUGCGAUACCGUAAGGUGGAGCGAAUCCCAAAAAGCCGGUCUCAGUUCGGAUUGGGGUCUGCAACUCGACCCCAUGAAGUCGGAGUCGCUAGUAAUCGCAGAUCAGCAACGCUGCGGUGAAUACGUUCCCGGGCCUUGUACACACCGCCCGUCAAGUCACGAAAGUCGGUAACACCCGAAGCCCAUGGCCCAACCGUUCGCGGGGGGAGUGGUCGAAGGUGGGACUGGCGAUUGGGACUAAGUCG
rnacentral:rRNA from 1 species